AUCUUUGCCGGGUGUCUCUGAC
rnacentral:miRNA from 1 species